UGAAAUGCGAUAAGUAAUGUGAAUUGCAGAAUCUCGUGAAUCAUUGAAUCUUUGAACGCAUAUUGCGCCUUAUGGUAUUCCGUAAGGCAUGCCUGUCUGAGCGUUAACUACCCUCCACUUCAAGUCUUCUUUUAGCUUGGAUUGUUUUAGACAAGCCAUCAUUUUAUAACAUGAAUGUUGGCUGUCUAGAAAUAUAUAGGCAGUAUAAAGGCUUUCUGUACUGGACGUAAUAAGAAAUAAAAUUAAGCAUUCAUAUGAAGCCUAUUGUGCUUGUCUUCAACUCAUAUUUUUUCUUAGGUAACCUCAGAUCAGGUAGGGAUACCCGCUGAACUUAA
rnacentral:misc_RNA from 1 species